UACGUAGGGGGCUAGCGUUGUCCGGAUUUAUUGGGCGUAAAGAGCGUGUAGGCGGCCAGGUAGGUCUGGUGUGAAAACUCGAGGCUUAACCUCGAGAUGUCAUCGGAAACCAUCUGGCUAGAGUCCGGAAGAGGAGAGUGGAAUUCCUGGUGUAGCGGUGAAAUGCGCAGAUAUCAGGAAGAACACCCGUGGCUAAGGCGGUUCUCUGGGCAUUAACUGACGCUGAGGAGCGAAAGCAUGGGGAGCGAACAGG
rnacentral:rRNA from 1 species